rnacentral:rRNA from 1 species
CACAUGCAAGUCGAACGAACCUUCGGGUUAGUGGCGGACGGGUGAGUAACGCGUGGGAAUCUGCCCUCAGGAGGGGGAUAACGGUUGGAAACGACCGCUAAUACCCCAUAUGCCGAGAGGUGAAAUGAAUUUCGCCUGAGGAUGAGCCCGCGUCUGAUUAGCUUGUUGGUGAGGUAAUGGCUCACCAAGGCAUCGAUCAGUAGCUGGUCUGAGAGGAUGAUCAGCCACACUGGGACUGAGACACGGCCCAGACUCCUACGGGAGGCAGCAGUGGGGAAUUUUCCGCAAUGGGCGAAAGCCUGACGGAGCAACGCCGCGUGAGGGACGAAGGCCUCUGGGCUGUAAACCUCUUUUCUCAAGGAAGAAGAUAUGACGGUACUUGAGGAAUAAGCCACGGCUAAUUCCGUGCCAGCAGCCGCGGUAAUACGGGAGUGGCAAGCGUUAUCCGGAAUUAUUGGGCGUAAAGCGUCCGCAGGCGGCCUUUCAAGUCUGCUGUUAAAACGUGGAGCUUAACUCCAUCAUGGCAGUGGAAACUGAUUGGCUUGAGUAUGGUAGGGGCAGAGGGAAUUCCCGGUGUAGCGGUGAAAUGCGUAGAUAUCGGGAAGAACACCAGUGGCGAAGGCGCUCUGCUGGGCCAUUACUGACGCUCAUGGACGAAAGCCAGGGGAGCGAAAGGGAUUAGAUACCCCUGUAGUCCUGGCCGUAAACGAUGAACACUAGGUGUCGGGGGAAUCGACCCCUUCGGUGUCGUAGCUAACGCGUUAAGUGUUCCGCCU